GCCUCUGUGGCUCAGUGGUAGAGCAGCUCAUUCGUAACGAGCAGAUCGUCGGUUCAAUCCCGACCAGGGGCUCCA
rnacentral:tRNA from 2 species